CCACUGGCCUGGUAAUUUAUAUGAAUGUCAAUAGUAAUAAAUCAAUGUUUUGUUAAAAUUUACGCCCAAUGUAAGCCAUUGGAUUUCAACAAACGGCGAAACGUUAGAAUAACUUCGCCCUUAAGUAUGUAUGUUGUGUUUUAAGCUUUAUAGCUAACUAUUUAUUCGCCUGGAGUUAAGCAACUGAACUCUUUUAAAUAAAGUAUUCUUUCGCCUUUCCUCUCUAUUAACUACAACGGUGAAUUUUUUUAUGAAUAAGCGGGUAUAAGUUUUAUCUAAAACUGAUAUUUUUAAUACGUAGUAACUGUAUUUUAUUACUUCAUUAUAAAGUUCAAUUCCACAAUAAACCUUCAAACAACUUCUGUGAGUAUGUAAAUUGUAGUCAAUUAUAAUAUUAGUGACACGUUUAUAUAUGUUACUUUAACUUAUUUAUAUUAUAUACAGCAUUAUGGAUACAUCUUGGAUAAAAGAUGACGGAAAUUAAUAUCAUUUGAUUGUAACAUGAUAGUCGUAUUUUAAAGUCUACAAUACCUAAAUGAUGGUGCUGCGGGAUAGCCGACCACGCCACUUACCUGACUUAUUCUUAAAAUAUUUACGGGCUAGAGGCACCACGGUUCUCUCUUCGCCCUCCUCCUACUAAUAUGUUUCACAAACUCAACAAUGAAUACGUAUUUAUUACGUUUCCUAAUUGCUCCAGAGAUAUCAUUGCUGGCAGGUGCAUUUAAUAUUCACACACACAUGACACAUGGUGAACAUUGGAUAUCCUAGAUUGUAAUGCGCAUUUUUGGACUCCGGCGUCACACAUGCAAGCACAGCUCGUUUCUAAAUGAAGAUAUGGCCGACGCACCGCGGUUGUUUGCCAAGGAAUUUUAUUUUUUUUUACUGUGAAGGCAUCGGAGGAACCGGUAUGUAAAAGAAACAAAAGUUAGUAAUUUUAUAACAAAUAAACGUCACAGACGAGUUAUUGACUGCCCCAUUGGAGUGGAUACGCUACACAAAUUUAUUUUUGAAAUGUGGAAAUAGUUUUUAAAUAACAUAGUUGUAUUCGACGUAGUUAGGUAAAAUUAGCCUGUUAAUAACAUGUUUUAUUUUGUUUUCAAGUUGUUAGACAUAUAACAACAUUUAACUUAAUCUUAUACCUAAAUUAAAAUUCUAUUAAAUUUAAUAAUUUCUUAGUUGUCUCAGUUGUUAUAUAAGAGGAUGCCUUACAAACCAGGAAUGAAUAUAGGUUACAUAUUAUACACCUAGAUGAUUCCUUCCUAACCCUAUUGCUACAUGCAUGUCUAUAAAGUAAUACCUCAUUUAUGUCGGGGCGAUGAUCCCGACUUCCAUUCAACCGUAGUCAACAAUUAUCUAACAGCCCCUGGCUAAAAGGCAGGUGUCUCCGAAGAUGAAGCGUAUUAAUCCCAACAAAUCCUCAGAACACUCUCCGAGGUAAUUGUAGAGAUCAAAUUCGGCCCCGCUCCAUGCGGAUUCAAUUAUUUUUAGUUAUAUUAUAUAGUAUUCAAAAUAAUACAAUUCAUUUCAUAUACCUCUCACAUAUUGUUUGAUAUCCACAAUUAUGUUUUUACAAAUGUCGAAAAAGAAUAUAUAUUACUAACUUCAUAAGUAAAGUAUAUAGAGACAUUUAUCGA